rnacentral:rRNA from 1 species
AUUGAACGCUGGCGGCAGGCUUAACACAUGCAAGUCGAGCGGGGGAAGGUAGCUUGCUACCGGACCUAGCGGCGGACGGGUGAGUAAUGCUUAGGAAUCUGCCUAUUAGUGGGGGACGACAUCUCGAAAGGGAUGCUAAUACCGCAUACGUCCUACGGGAGAAAGCAGGGGAUCUUCGGACCUUGCGCUAAUAGAUGAGCCUAAGUCGGAUUAGCUAGUUGGUGGGGUAAAGGCCUACCAAGGCGACGAUCUGUAGCGGGUCUGAGAGGAUGAUCCGCCACACUGGGACUGAGACACGGCCCAGACUCCUACGGGAGGCAGCAGUGGGGAAUAUUGGACAAUGGGGGGAACCCUGAUCCAGCCAUGCCGCGUGUGUGAAGAAGGCCUUAUGGUUGUAAAGCACUUUAAGCGAGGAGGAGGCUACUCUAGUUAAUACCUAGGGAUAGUGGACGUUACUCGCAGAAUAAGCACCGGCUAACUCUGUGCCAGUCGCCGCCGUAA